UUUCUUUGCAUGAUAAUUUUUAUUUUUAUUCAUUUUAUUGACAAGAUUAUAUAAAUAAAGAUUCAAUAUAAGCAAAUUUCCAGUGUUUGCAUUUCUUGUCUAACUUUUUUCUUUAUGGACACAGAGUUUCCCUCAAGUUGGCCAGGCUGGAGCACAGUGGUGCAAUCUUGACUCACUGCAACCUCCGCCUCCUGGGUUCAAGUGAUUCUCCUGCCUCAGUCUCUGGAGUAGCUGUGAUUACAGGGAACUGUCUACAGCUUUUCACAGAGUAGUGGACAAUGGAUUUUCUCAUCCCCACUGAGAGAAAGCUGAAUGAGAAGGCUGAAGAUGGGCUGUGAGAUGAAAA
rnacentral:lncRNA from 13 species